rnacentral:rRNA from 1 species
UACCCGCGGCCCGAGUGGUGCUCAUUAUUAUUGAGCCUAAAACGUCCGUAGCCGGCUCGGUACAUUCCUGGGUAAAUCGGGCAGCUCAACUGUCCGAAUUCCGGGGAGACGGCCGGGCUCGGGACCGGGAGAGGUCGGAGGUACUCCGGGGGUAGGGGUAAAAUCCUGUAAUCCUCGGAGGACCACCAGUGGCGAAGGCGUCUGACUAGAACGGAUCCGACGGUCAGGGACGAAGCCCAGGGGCGCAAACGGG